rnacentral:lncRNA from 1 species
AACAACAUCAGGGAUAUUUGUCCUGAAAUUCACAAGUAGAUCAAACUAAAUUAAACCAAGCCAUGUAGUGUUAAUUAAGCAAAUCGGAAGUAGAGAAGCAUUUGAGAGAAGUUGAGAACAAGCGAGAGGGAGAACAUACGUCAAACGCUUUUGUUUGGUGGGAAAACGUUAACCUCCAUGAACUCUAAAUAUACAUAAGUAAGAAGUUAAAGUUGCAAGGAAGAUAGGGACUGACAGGUUGAAUUCUAAAGUGACAUCGACGUGCAUACAAACCAAACCUUCACUGCUUUGUUUUCUCGACCAAAGACAUUCAAUUCUGGUCUGCUUCCUUCAGCUUAUGCUUAGACGGCCACUUCCAGGUCGAUGUGUAACCAUAAUGGACCUGCGAAGGAGAAGCUCCGUGUGGACCUAGGUAGAUGUUUUCUUAACCUGUAAUCUACAAAACAUAGAGCGAGAGGUUUUUUUUUUAAUACCAUUGGAAAAACAACUCCUCCAUAUAAGUAAUCAAUCGCUGACUUAAAUUAAACAAAGGAAUGAUUCCUUAUCUUCUGGGACAACAAAAUCAUCCAAUUUUACGGGCCCUAGAGAUUGCAGAUUGGAGAUUUGACGAUCACCUUGGACAUGUUUUUUUAGAUGGAGAACUUCAGCCGAAUCAAUUCUGACAGUGAGAAAAGAGAAACUCUCAAAUUCCGGGGAAAGUAAGAGAAACCAAAAAAAAAACGAAUGAACUGACCCCAUUCAGAAUCAUAUUAUUCUUCGUCUACUUCUGGAGGCAGCGUCUUCGUCUGCGUUAACGAACCGCCGCGUGUAGAGGAGAUCGGGAGUAUAGGACAGAAGAAGAGGAAAAUCGGGUGGUCGACGUCGUUUAGC